ACAGAGGGUGCAAGCGUUAAUCGGAUUUACUGGGCGUAAAGCGCGCGUAGGCGGCUAAUUAAGUCAAAUGUGAAAUCCCCGAGCUUAACUUGGGAAUUGCAUUCGAUACUGGUUAGCUAGAGUGUGGGAGAGGAUGGUAGAAUUCCAGGUGUAGCGGUGAAAUGCGUAGAGAUCUGGAGGAAUACCGAUGGCGAAGGCAGCCAUCUGGGAUGACACUGACGCUCAUGCACGAAAGCGUGGGGAGCAAACAG
rnacentral:rRNA from 1 species